AAGUAGUCGCCGGCAGAACGGAUAUUAUUGAUGUUAAUAAUUAUGGUAAAUAACCACUACUUU
rnacentral:tRNA from 1 species